UGGGGAAUAUUGGACAAUGGGGGGAACCCUGAUCCAGCCAUGCCGCGUGUGUGAAGAAGUCCUUAUGGUUGUAAAGCACUUUAAGCGAGGAGGAGGGUACUGGUAUUAAUACUACCAGGUACUGGACGUUACUCGCAGAAUAAGCACCGGCUAACUCUGUGCCAGCAGCCGCGGUAAUACAGAGGGUGCGAGCGUUAAUCGGAUUUACUGGGCGUAAAGCGUGCGUAGGCGGCUAAUUGAGUCGGAUGUGAAAUCCCCGAGCUUAACUUGGGAAUUGCAUUCGGUACUGGUUAGCUAGAGUGUGGGAGAGGAUGGUAGAAUUCCAGGUGUAGCGGUGAAAUGCGUAGAGAUCUGGAGGAAUACCGAUGGCGAAGGCAGCCAUCUGGCCUAACACUGACGCUGAGGUACGAAAGCAUGGGGAGCAAACAGG
rnacentral:rRNA from 1 species